AAUCCAACCGGGAACAGCCGGUGAGGAGCAGAGGACCAAAGCCCGUUGUGCCUCCUGCUGGCUGGGAGCCUUUGGACAAGUCCCCGGAAGAAGGUUUUGUACCAAGCCGGGCGCUUUUCAUGUACCAUCAGAUGCGCUUUUCACCUUGAAGUUCCGAUCGGCCAAGACUUAACCGAGUGUUUGCUGUGCGCUAAGCCCUGGGGAUACAGAGAUGGACCUGGCCCGGCCGCCCCCGGCGGAGACCUCACGGUCUCGGGAGCAGUGAGAGCGCGCCGCGCGAUCAGAGACCCGCACCGCACCCCCCCAGCACGUAGCUACCUCUGAAGAGACGUCCGGGAGAUGAAUGAAAGCCAUGUGCGUGAUAGAGAUAAGAUAAAAUUGCAGGAAGUAA